rnacentral:rRNA from 1 species
CCAACAUUUCAUAUCACCCUGCAGCUCACAACUGGCAACCCACUGAAGCUAAGCAGGUGUGAGCCUGGUUAGUACCUGGAUGGGAGACCUCCUGGGAAAAACUAAGGUUGCUGCUGGA